UGAAAUCCUAAAGGGCAAACCCUGCUGUGGCUGAGGAACAAGGUCCUUUGGGGCAGCAGACUGAGCCACAGAACUCUGCUGAAGGGUUUUAUUUUUCCCUGAGGAUAAAGCAGCUGCUGUGUCUGACAGUGAGGAUGGGUUGGUGGUUGUAAAAAUCCUGUCUGUGCUUAUUGUAUUUAUGAAAAAUUCUAUGUUUUAGCAGAAAUAUGAGUAGGAACGACUUCAGCUUUGAAAGUCUCUAUUAACAUGGACUGCUUGACUCUUAAAGGUUGCCUUACAAUCUCUACAACAAAUUCUCCCAAAGUAUAAAUGUCUGGAUAUUAAAAUUAACCUCCAGUGCUUUUCUUGGUGCCAUGGCUGUGUCCGGAGGCUUGGGCUUUGUGUAAAGCUGCAGGACAGGGGUAGCAAAGGGAUUUCUGAUGACAGAAUUUGUGUGUCAGAGGAGCAGAACUACUUUUAAUUAAAUGUCAACAGGUCUAUAAAAUACCUGCAUGGGAGGGAGCAGUAUUUGAUGGGACAAGGAUGCAGAUGAAAAAGAAAGGUACCUUCUAGCAGUGUGGGAAAGAGAAUUUUUCAUUCCCUGCUCACUUCUGUCUUCCUAAGGCACUUCUCACACAAAUACUGUGAGAUCCUGUAAUUUUUUAGCCUCCCAAUGUCCUGAGAACAGUUCCUGGAUUCUUUCACCACUGGCUUGAGCUAGUUCAGUUUCUCCUCAGCUGUUCUGCCCGCAAAUGCUUCUGUUUCACACCAAACCAAUGGGCAAGAGGAAGCCAGGUUUUAUUUAUGAAAUAUAUUGUUUAUGUACUUGAAACUUCUUUUUCCCCUGUGUUUGCCUAAUUGGUAAAGGCACAUUAUCUUUUGUCAGGUGGAAAAAGGGGAAAAAAAGGGGAGGAAAGCAAAUUCUGUGAUUGUGUGAAAUGGAGAACACAUAUGAUUCUGUGAGAUAGAACUCCUGUUACUGCAACACUUGAGUUGUUGUGGUAAUACAGAAUUUUUACACAAUCAAAGCUUUUUUGAGACACAUGUAAAUGGUGAUUAGGAUAUUAAUUGGGGAGGAAGAGGUUUUUUACCUUAGCAGAGUCCAUCUUCUCUAUGUUGAUACUACUGACAGUGGCAUUUGUGCUGCAUUUAAUCUACCUGCAUCAUUUUAACACAUAAUUUCCUGCUUGAUAAAAGUAGCACUCAAAGGAAAUCAAGCUUUAGAGACCUCUCUGGCUUCACAAAAUCUCUAUCCUACUGUAAUCCCCUGGUUUUCUGUGCUCUUCUGGGGUUUGGCAUCCCUCCCAUGCUAGCUGGCCUCAGUACCCUCAUCCAGGCAAUGGGAUCUUCCCUUUCUGGCAGUGGUUGAUUCCAGGUGGUUUUAGAAGGAAUGAUCCCACAGGAAGUGCUUGCAUGCUGGAUUUCACAUAGAAAUGUCCCUCUUCAAUCUCUCAGAAUCCCCAAAAUCAUAGAAUAGCCCAAGCUGGAAGGCACCUCAAAGGAUGAUUGAUCUGGUGCAGCCUUUUUCUGGGAAAGGGGAGCACAGGUGAGGUGAUAGAAUCAUAAAAUCAUCAUUAACCUGUCUAAUUGCAUCUUUUAAACCUCCAGUGACACAACUCUGGGAAGGCUUAGAGUAGAAAACUCUAAAUAUGAUCUUCCCAGAGCUCUCCUUUGAGCCAGGAUUGUGAGUUUCUCCACAGCCCUUGCUGUGGUGCCUCAUCAUCAUCUCCCAGCAUGAUUUUAUUAUUAUUCCUGUUAUUAACAUCCAUAUGAGAAAACAACUGUAUCUUGGGUGUGCUGCACCAUGGAAAAAAAAAAAUCCAGAACAAAUUAUUCUGUUUGCUUUUUGUUUCAAAUGGUUUUUGUUUGGAGAUGUUGGAAAUUGCUGCCUUUUCAGACAGAGCUUCCCUUGGACAAGCAGUGACUGCUCUCCCAACUAAGCCUUUUCCAGGUGAAUACCAAAGUUGUACUGAUGCUGUUUUCAAGCUGCACAAGAAAUAAAACCACUCCACAAGGGAUGUGCAAUCUAAAUUUCCUCUGCCAAUUUGUUCCCUGCCUUUUCAGCUGUAGGAUGUGAAGGCUUUCUUGUUUUGCAUAACAGCUGUUCAGUCACAAACUGGAAUUACUUUGAGCCAAAGGAGUGAUGUUGUGUGGUGUUCUGUGUAUUGUCAUUGUUUAUUGCUAAAAUUAUUUAAUUGAAUGCUGUCUGUGGCACACUGGGCUCUGAAGUAAAGGAGCAUCAAGGUACAGAA